CCUACGGGAGGCAGCAGUGGGGAAUCUUCCGCAAUGGGCGAAACCCUGAUGCAGCGACGCCGCGUGAGUGAUGAAGUAUUUCGGUAUGUAAAGCUCUAUCAUCAGGGAAGAACAUGAGUGUACCUAACUAAGAAGCCCCUGCUAAAUACGUGCCAGCAGCCGAGGUAAUACGUAGGGGGCAAGCGUUAUCCGGAAUUAAUGGGUGUAACGGGAGCGUAGACGGUCAGAUAAGUCAGAAGUGAAAGCCCAGGGCUCAACCCUGGGACUGCAUUUGAAACUGCCGAGCUGGAGUGCAGGAGAGGUAAGCGGAAUUCCAAGUGUAGCGGUGAAAUGCGUAGAUAUUAGGAGGAACACCAGUGGCGAAGGCGACUUACUGGACUGUAACUGACGUUGAGGCUCGAAAGCGUGGGGAGCAAACAGGAUUAGAUACCCUAGUAGUC
rnacentral:rRNA from 1 species